UCCAGACUCCUACGGGAGGCAGCAGUGGGGAAUAUUGCACAAUGGGGGAAACCCUGAUGCAGCGACGCCGCGUGAGUGAAGAAGUAAUUCGUUAUGUAAAGCUCUAUCAGCAGGGAAGAAAAUGACGGUACCUGAGUAAGAAGCCCCGGCUAACUACGUGCCAGCAGCCGCGGUAAUACGUAGGGGGCAAGCGUUAUCCGGAUUUACUGGGUGUAAAGGGAGCGUAGACGGCGGUGCAAGCCAGAUGUGAAAGCCCGGGGCUCAACCCCGGGACUGCAUUUGGAACUGUGCUGCUAGAGUGUCGGAGAGGCAGGCGGAAUUCCUAGUGUAGCGGUGAAAUGCGUAGAUAUUAGGAGGAACACCAGUGGCGAAGGCGGCUUGCUGGACCGUAACUGACGUUGAGGCUCGAAAGCGUGGGGAGCAAACAGGAUUAGAUACCCGAGUCCUA
rnacentral:rRNA from 1 species